rnacentral:rRNA from 1 species
GUGCCAGCAGCCGCGGUAAUACAGAGGCCUCGAGCGUUAGGCGGAAUCACUGGGCUUAAAGCGCGUGUAGGCGGAUCGUUAAGUGUCUUGUGAAAUCCCACGGCUCAACCGUGGAACUGCUGGGCAUACUGGCGAUCUUGGGCCACUCAGGGGCGACCGGAACAAGCGGUGGAGCGGUGAAAUGCGUAGAUAUCGCUUGGAACGCCAAAGGUGAAGACAGGUCGCUGGGGGUGUGCCGACGCUGAGACGCGAAAGCCAGGGGAGCAAACGGGAUUAGAUACCCCCGUAGUCC